rnacentral:rRNA from 1 species
GACGAACGCUGGCGGCGUGCUUAACACAUGCAAGUCGAACGGAAAGGCCCUGCUUUUGUGGGGUGCUCGAGUGGCGAACGGGUGAGUAACACGUGAGUAACCUGCCCUUGACUUUGGGAUAACUUCAGGAAACUGGGGCUAAUACCGGAUAGGAGCUCCUGCUGCAUGGUGGGGGUUGGAAAGUUUCGGCGGUUGGGGAUGGACUCGCGGCUUAUCAGCUUGUUGGUGGGGUAGUGGCUUACCAAGGCUUUGACGGGUAGCCGGCCUGAGAGGGUGACCGGCCACAGUGGGACUGAGAUGCGGCACAGACUCCUACGGGACGCAGCAGUGGGGAAUAUUGCACAAUGGGCGGAAGCCUGAUGCAGCAACGCCGCGUGCGGGAUGACGGCCUUCGGGUUGUAAACCGCUUUCGCCUGUGACGAAGCGUGAGUGACGGUAAUGGGUAAAGAAGCACCGGCUAACUACGUG